rnacentral:rRNA from 1 species
AUGGAAAUCUUGUCCUUACAAGUGGGAUGGGGGAAAUUUGUUGGGACGUUUGGUCUAGAGAUGGGUGACACCAUAGUAUUCAGAUACAUUGGGAACUCUCGGUUUAAUGUCAUAAUCUUUGAUGAACUUGGCUGUGAGAAGACCAUACAAACGCAGCCAUUUAGCAUAGGGAAAGGGAUGCCAAUGGAGUCACCACGCCUCCAAAUGGAAAUGGACAAGUCAUGUCAAGACAACAACACUGUGAUAAGUGUUUCCUCCCGCGAGUCAUCAGGAGAUCCUGUCUACUAUGAGGAAGAAUGUGGGGUACGUGAAGUGCCUGGUUCCGAUUUCAACGUCAGGAAGAAGAAGGCCAGGCUAUCUUCAAAUCAGAAGCAGCAGUUGAAGGAUUGUUACUUUACCGGCCGGAAGACCAAACUAACUUCAACUCAGAAGGAAGCGGUGAAGCGGAUGGUCCAAUCCAUAUACUCAGAGAUCCCCAUCUUCGUUGCUGUGAUGCGCAAGUGCAAUGUUGUUGCAGAAUUCUAUCUGACUUUUCCCAUGCACUACGCUAAGAAAUAUCUCACAGAGGAGCCAGACAUGUGUCUUCAGCGGCAGGGCCGGAAGUGGGAGGCGCGGUAUUGUGAAUACAAUGGCGGGGAAAAGCUCACUAUUGGAUGGAAACAGUUUGUAGAAGACAACAAGCUGAAGAUGGGUGAUAUCUGCCUCUUUAAACUGUUGAGCAUUGAGAGAACCAUGAAGGUCUAUAUCAUCAGUGAAAACGUUGCCAAUUAUCGGGCAGGUCUCCAGAAUGACACUGACCGCAAAGCGGUGUUCAGGAGAGGGGCUCAUCAUGCGGAUGGAGCGUGUGAUCCUGACUCAAGGUUCCUUCGCAUCACUAAAACUGAAGCUAUGGAAGAUGAUGCUGUUUUUAAAACUGAAGACGGUGCCUGA